rnacentral:rRNA from 1 species
CUCCAGACUCCUACGGGAGGCAGCAGUGGGGAAUAUUGCACAAUGGGGGAAACCCUGAUGCAGCGACGCCGCGUGAGUGAAGAAGUAUUUCGGUAUGUAAAGCUCUAUCAGCAGGGAAGAUAAUGACGGUACCUGACUAAGAAGCCCCGGCUAACUACGUGCCAGCAGCCGCGGUAAUACGUAGGGGGCAAGCGUUAUCCGGCUUUACUGGGUGUAAAGGGUGCGUAGGUGGCAGGGCAAGUCAGAUGUGAAAGCCCGGGGCUCAACCCCGGUACUGCAUUUGAAACUGUCCAGCUGGAGUGCAGGAGAGGUAAGCGGAAUUCCUAGUGUAGCGGUGAAAUGCGUAGAUAUUAGGAGGAACACCAGUGGCGAAGGCGGCCUGCUGGACGAUGACUGACGUUGAGGCUCGAAAGCGUGGGGAGCAAACAGGAUUAGAUACCCGUGUA